rnacentral:lncRNA from 1 species
UUUUUUUUUUUUUUUUUUUUUUUUUUCCUGUGUGGACGUCCAGCCGUUCCAGCACCAUUUGUUGAAAAACUAACUUUGCCCAUUGUAUUGUCUUUGUUCCCACUACCAGUUGGCUCUAUUUGUGUGUGUCUAUUUCAGGAUUCUAUUCUGUUCUAUGAACGUGUUUUCCUGUCUUUUUACGAAUAUCACCCCAUCCCGAUCACUACAGUUCUGUCGGAAGGCUUAAGACCCAGUAGAGUCAGUCAUCCUGCUUUGUUUUUCUCCUUCCAUAUUGUGCUGCUUUUCUGGACUUUUUGACUCUCCAUAUACAUUUUAUUUUAUUAAAAAAAUUUUUUUUGUCUUUUUAGGGCCACACCUGUGGCACAUGGAGGUUCCCAUGCUAGGGGUCCAGUUGGAGCUGAAGCUGCUGGCCUGCACCACAGCCACAGCAACACGGGAUCUGAGCCACAUCUGAGACCGACACCCCAGCUCAUGGCAACGCUGGUCCUUCACCCACUGAGCGAGGCCAGGGAUCGACCCCACAUCCUCAUGGAUGCUAGUCAGGUUCACUAACCGCUGAGCCAUGAGGGGAACUCCUCCAUGUACGUUUUAGAAUCCAUUUGUGGUAUCCACAAAGAGCUGCCUAGGAUUUUGAGUGGGAUGCCUUAAAUCUACAGAUCAAAUUCGGAAGAGCUGGCCUCUUAACCACUGCCUUCCUCUCCACGAGCUUGGAACCUCUCUCCACUCAAUUAGUUCUUCUUUGAUUUCUUUCAUCGGUUUUGUAGCUUUCCUCACAUAGAUUUUGUUCCCGUUUUGUUAGGUUUAUUAUAAGCAUUUCCUUUUUCGGGGGCUCAUGUACAUGAUACUGUGUUUUAAAUGUCAAUUUCCAGUUAUUCAUUGCUAGUAUAUGAACUAGGAAUGUGACUUUUGUAUUUUAAGCUUAUAUCCUGCAGUCUUGCUAUAAUUGCUUAUUAGUCCCCAGAGUUUUCUGAUUCUUCGGAUUUUCUGUUUAGAUGACGUGCCAUUUGCGCACAAACACAGCCUUAGUCCUUCCUUCCCAACCUGCAUACCUUUUAUUUCCUUUUCUUGCCCAACUGCAUUAGCAAAGACGUUCCAUACAAGGUUGAGAAGGUGGUACAGCUGGUUUUUCCGCUCAGCAGUGGAUAUUUUGUUGUUUCUGGGUUUUGCCUGCUCUGAGGAGAGCUGCUUUGUUCAGAUCAUACAGCACAUGUGUGGACAUAUGUGCUCUCUUCUCAUGGGGAAGCGCCCAGGCGUGGGAUGCUGCAUUGCAGGUCAAAGAGAUGCCGGACGGUCCGAGGCACAGCCGAGCUCCUGUCCAAGGCGGGUUUCUGAUGGGCAGCGUGUCGGUGGCUUUUGACGCUCAUCUGAUAGUCUCUGCCUUCCAGUCAGAGUAUUUAGACCAUUUAAGUUUUGCUGACUCUGGACGGAGAGGGUUGAAACCUACCCUCUUCCUAAAGCUUUUUGCUUUUGUCCUGUUUGUCCUUUGUUACUUCCCCCUUUUUUGCCUUCUCUUGGGGCCUCUUCUACAAUUCCAUUUUACUGCACCUGUCAGCUGACCGGUGACCCUUUGGGGGCUUUUCAGUGACGGGGCAGCACCGUGACUCUCACGUUCGCCCCUCGCUCAGACGCAGAAGAAUUCAGAGACACGGGUCUCUGCAGGGCUUCCUGCCCACUAGGAGUUUGCAGCGUCUGCCUCAUGUGGGAGAGAGGUCCAGGGACUGCCCAGUUUCUCCUCUGCAGCCCUCGGGGCGGCGGCGGGGGGUGGGGGGGGAAUUCCGUCCCUCUUCUGGGCACCUGGCAGCUGGCACAGGCCCUCCCUGUAGCCAAGCCAGCUCCCCAGCUUGUUUUGCCCUUAGGAAUCCAUCAAACCCUCAGCCACAUUCCUUUUAUCUGAGGUCCGGGCCACCGUGCUUUGGUCAGAAUCAUCUGAGGUUUUGUUUGCUUCAUUUUGUUUGGUGCAAGAGGCAAGGAGCAGAUGGUAUACUGUUAACAGAUGGAGAGGAAACCAAAAGCCUCCAGUCUCUUCUCUGCUUCCUUUAUGUAAAAACGGAGUUCCUGCAGAAAGGACACGCAGGCUUGCGGGGAGUGAGAUCCCAACAGAGAAGAACGGGACACCUGCUCUCCAAGGGCGUGUGGGCGGUCCGACCCAGAUAACCUGAAAGACCUUGGGAACGCGUGUGAAGUGCUUGGAGGGAACCUCUCUGGAAUCUUGAAGAACGAGACAGACACCAGGACAGAGGAGGUGGCAGACGCGCCAGCUCUUGGGGCGGGGAGGAGGAGACUACGGAUGCGCAAGCUCACUGUCCACAGGUCCUUGGAGGAUCCGUUCAGCACUCCAGGUGAGGGUGCGCCAGAAAGAGCAGCCUGGACGUUCCAAACCCUUCGAAGCAUAGCAGCGCCGUCAAGGCACCAACAGGUAAACCUCAGGCCGGAGAAGCCACAGGGGUUUCCAGCCACAGCGGCCAAGCUGAGCUCCAGCGUUUCAAGCAACCCCUUCAAGAAAGAGCCGACUUGGGGGUCCCCAUGCCGCUCACUCAGAGAACCAGCCCCUCCCGUCAAUUCCUUCUCCCAGCUGCGUGGGCAUUUGAUACCAGGUUCCCGAAGGGUGAGCCCUUGCUCAGAGACCUCUCCACUGUCCGCACCCCCAGACGAGGGCACGAUUUCAGAACACCUGCUCUCCUUGCCGUCACUUCUCCACGUGACUCCCAGCCCACGAGCCACCUCUGCAAAGGACCGAGGCCAGCAAACCUCUUCCUGAUGUACAGCCAGUGGGACUCAGCUGCGUCCUGGACCGAUUCACUUCUCACAAAAUUAUCCUGACAGCCUCGCUUGCUGACCUCGGGGAACCCAGACUGAACCCGUUGCCUUGCCUUUGGGACCAGGACGGGCGUUGUUUAAAGAUGGGCCCUGUAUGUCGCUCCAGAUCAGAAUGUUUUCCUUUUAUAGCAUUUUAACAGCUUUUCCCAGAAAACAUCAGCCU